GUGGGAAGCUGUUUUGUCCUGUUUUUCACUGCAUCACGGUUUGAUUUCUGGUCCUCAAAGCAAUUAACAUUUGGCAUCAAACAGGGAAACAGACAGAGCCUCGCCCCCGCAAACGCCUCACUCACACGCAUGCAUGGACAUGCACACACCCACACAUGUGCACACUGCUGCUCGCCCAUGUGUCUGUCAUGACAGGGCGCUGUGUUUCCUACUCCCGCGGUCAUCCUGCUGGCAGAUGACCAGGUCCCAGGCAGUAGCAAUGCGGCACAGCUGCAGGAGAUCCGAAGCUGCCUGGGCUGUCCACAGUGGCGUGGGCCUCAGCUGCAGCUUCCAGCACAGCUGCUUAGAUAGGGCCAGCUUUUUUUUUUUUUUUUUAAACAAACCUGAAGCUCAUUGUGUGGUCGAAGAUGUGGUUUGCGAGUGCCCAUGGCAGGAUUCCCACUGCGGAGACUCCUGUACAUCGGGUAUGAGGCAGCACAUUGCGUGCAAUGCAUUCUGGUCUUUUUUCCUCCCUCCAGAAGAGGCUCCAUUUAUGUGUUAGGCUUUAAGAGGCUGGGCGUACCAAAAGGAAGUCUCUGAAACGCAGUCCUGUCGAACACCUCUGGAGUUGAUUCUUCUGAUAUCACAGGAGUUCUUCCUAUCACUGUAUAUUAUUGGGUGCGAGCCCCCGGUCCUUCCUCUAUGAGGAGGCAGUGGAGGGAAGAGUUGAACCUCUUCUCGCACACACACCUGAGACUCCCUGGCUCUCUCUGUGGGCCACAGGAUGGGCUUCAGUUAUGGCGAGUAAUAAUUUUGUUAUCGCGGUUUUUACAUUGAUUUGGAACAUGGUGUUACACAAAAUGCUGAAAUUGAAAAAGACAGGAUGAGUCACCUUUGCCCUGUCUCCUCUUCAAGUCUGAUCCUAAUUGAACGGAGAGUGCAAACUGCACGCCAAGAUUUGCAGAACAAAGGCCUCCCCGCCCACGAGUUCCUCAUGGCCUUGCCUCAGUCCCCGAAAUCCCGCUGUUAGCCUCCCUCACUAGAAUAAGGCAUUAGCACAGAAGCCAACGUUGGGGGAAAAGAAAAUCAAUACAGCGUGGAAGAGAAAGCAGGAAGCCAUGGAGGGAGGAAGAGACUGAGGCUCCGGCUGGAAGGACUUCGUUUGUGAUAAGAGCAGAGAGGAAAAGCAGCAAGAAAGAAAAGUCGCUGUACACUUUGGGUCUGGACAUCAAAGAAACAAAGGAAAUGCUUAGAUUCAGAGUGGCACGUGUGUAGAAAAAAGUCCUGCUUUCCUGUCUUGGGGGACACCACUAUCAUCCCAUGUAAGUGACCAGUGCUCCCCAAGUGGCCCUCUCCUGGCAUUUCACUGAGACACAAGCUCCCUGAAAGCUGGGGCUUACCUGACCAUGUGCCCCCUGCACUCCCAGGGCUGAGACCUGCGUCUGGUCCCUGCUAGACACCCAGCGAGGGUUGACAGCAUGAGCGAAUGAGCUUCUCCGUCUGCCCGUAAGUGUGAUGGACACCUUCUCCUACAGCCACCCGUUUCACACAUCAGGCAAACGUCUGUCAAGUCCACUCCUGAAAAUCCUGGUAUUUUCUCUACUUCUCUAUGAUAAUUUUAAUGUUUCCUUGAGGCAGUAUUCUUGCACCGGAAAGCAGCAUGAAUGAGGACUUGGAAAGCCCCCGCUUGCCUACGAAGGCGUCAUGGGUGGGGCUACUCAGGAAGCUGACACAGAGCAGAGCUGAGCGUGUUCUGAGCAUGCUCUGAGCAUGUUCUGAGCGUGUUCUGAAUGUGUUCUGAAUGUGUUCCGAGCCUGUUCUGAGCGUGUUGAGUGUGUUCUGAGCAUGUUCCAAGCAUGUUCUGAGUGUGUUCUGAGCCUGUUCUGAGCGUGUUCUGAGCAUGUUCCAAGCAUGUUCUGAGUGUGCUCUGAGCAUGUUCCAAGCAUGUUCCAAGUGUGUUCUGAGCCUGUUGUGAGCAUGUUAUAAACAUGUUCUGAGUGUGUUCUGAGCAUGUUCCAAACAUGUUCCGAGCAAGUUGUUUCUAAGCAUGAGCAUGUUCUGAGCAUGUUCUGCGUGUGUUCUGAGCAUGUUCUGAGCGUGUUUCGAGCAUGUUCUGAGCAUGUUCUGGGUAUGUUCUGAGUGUAUUCUGAGUCGGUUCUGAGCGUGUUAUAAACAUGUUCUCAGUGUGUUCUGAGCAUGUUCUGAGCAUGUUCUGUGUUCUGAGCCUAUUCUGAGCAUGUCCUGAGUAUGUUCUGAGUGUAUUCCGAGUCUGUUCUGAGCGUGUUCUGAGCAUGUUCUGAGCAUGGUCUGAGCGUGUUCUAAGUGUGUUCUGAGUGUGUUCUGAGCAUGUUCCAAGUGUGCUCUGAGCAUGUUCUGAGCGUGUUCUGAGCAUAUUCUGAUCAUGUUCUGGCUUUCAUGGGCCAUGUGCGUGAGGAAGAAGGAUGUGGCAUUGGACAGGUGAUGCAGUCACAGCCUCGCCCUAGGCCACUCCGGGUCUCUGCUGCCAGGCUACGAGGAGCAGAGAAACACAGGUCCUCUAGCGCAGAUACUUUCUCCAUGCAAGUCUUGAACUUCUGAAAGUCAUCCA
rnacentral:lncRNA from 1 species